rnacentral:rRNA from 1 species
GACGAACGCUGGCGGCGUGCUUAACACAUGCAAGUCGAGCGAGGCCCCUCCUUCGGGAGGGUGUCCUAGCGGCGAACGGGUGAGUAACACGUGGGCAACCUGCCCUCAGCUCUGGGAUAACUCCGGGAAACCGGGGCUAAUACCGGAUACGACCUCCACGGGCAUCUGCGGAGGUGGAAAGUUUUUCGGCUGAGGGUGGGCCCGCGGCCUAUCAGCUAGUUGGUGGGGUAGUGGCCCACCAAGGCGACGACGGGUAGCCGGCCUGGGAGGGCGACCGGCCACACUGGGACUGAGACACGGCCCAGACUCCUACGGGAGGCAGCAGUGGGGAAUAUUGCGCACGGGGCGAAAGCCUGACGCAGCGACGCCGCGUGAGGGACGAAGGCCUUCGGGUUGUAAACCUCUUUCAGCAGGGACGAAGCGAAAGUGACGGUACCUGCAGAAGAAGCACCGGCCAACUACGU